AGAGGAGCAGAGGGAGGGGGAAGAGACGGGGCUUAGAAGGGCGGGUUUUUGUACCACUGCAGCAUCAGUACAAAAAAAAAAAGGAUAUUCAGGAGACAGACUUCGGAGGAGGAUGAAGAGAUAAUCAACCUGGAGACAUCGCGGAGCACUAGGAGAGACGCGCUUCACCUGCAGAGAGAGAGAGUUAUGCAGAUCUGUCAGUAUGAUGGAACACGAGGGCUGUGCCCAGCACCAGGUCUCUGCAGACGGGAGGCUGGGCUGCGUGGAAAUGAAACAAUAGCCACGGACAUUGGGAGUACACCAGCCAUGCCCUGUCCUCACGACCCAUUCAGCUGUGUGCUGAGAAGGGACCUCUAGUGGUUGUGGCGGUGAUCAGAGCCUCAUGUACGGAUGGGACCGGACGUCAACAGGGCCACAAACCAUCCAUGUUCAGCGCUCACCUCCCCCUCCCUCCACCACCUCUAACAGAGCCUUCUGGUACCUG
ensembl:lncRNA